rnacentral:tRNA from 1 species
GGAAAGAUGGCUGAGUGGUCGAAAGCGCCGCACUCGAAAUGCGGUAUACGGGCAACUGUAUCGGGGGUUCGAAUCCCUCUCUUUCCG